rnacentral:rRNA from 1 species
GUUUAGAACGUCGUGAGACAGUUCGGUCCCUAUCCGCUGUGCGCGUAGGAGUCUUGAGAAGGGCUGUCCCUAGUACGAGAGGACCGGGACGGACGAACCUCUGGUGUGCCAGUUGUCCUGCCAAGGGCAUGGCUGGUUGGCUACGUUCGGAAAGGAUAACCGCUGAAAGCAUCUAAGCGGGAAGCCUGCUUCGAGAUGAGGACUCCCACCCCCUUUGAGGGGUUAAGGCUCCCAGUAGACGACUGGGUUGAUAGGCCAGAUCUGGAAGCCCGGUAACGGGUGGAGGUGACUGGUACUAAUAGGCCGAGGGCUUGUCCUCAGUUG